rnacentral:rRNA from 1 species
AUGGGGGCAACCCUGAUGCAGCCAUGCCGCGUGUGUGAAGAAGGCCUUCGGGUUGUAAAGCACUUUCAGCGAGGAGGAAAGGGUGUAAGUUAAUACCUUACAUCUGUGACGUUACUCGCAGAAGAAGCACCGGCUAACUCCGUGCCAGCAGCCGCGGUAAUACGGAGGGUGCGAGCGUUAAUCGGAAUUACUGGGCGUAAAGCGUGCGCAGGCGGUUUGUUAAGCGAGAUGUGAAAGCCCCGGGCUCAACCUGGGAACCGCAUUUCGAACUGGCAAACUAGAGUCUUGUAGAGGGGGGUAGAAUUCCAGGUGUAGCGGUGAAAUGCGUAGAGAUCUGGAGGAAUACCGGUGGCGAAGGCGGCCCCCUGGACAAAGACUGACGCUCAGGCACGAAAGCGUGGGGAGCAAACAGGAUUAGAUACCCUGGUAGUCCACGCCGUAAACGAUGUCUACUCGGAGUUUGGUGUCUUGAACACUGGGCUCUCAAGCUAACGCAUUAAGUAGACCGCCUGGGGAGUACGGCCGCAAGGUUAAAACUCAGAUGAAUUGACGGGGGCCCGCACAAGCGGUGGAGCAUGUGGUUUAAUUCGAUGCAACGCGAAGAACCUUACCUACUCUUGACAUCCAGAGAACUUUUCAGAGAUGAAUUGGUGCCUUCGGGAACUGUGAGACAGGUGCUGCAUGGCUGUCGUCAGCUCGUGUUGUGAAAUGUUGGGUUAAGUCCCGCAACGAGCGCAACCCCUAUCCUUACUUGCCAGCGGGUAAUGCCGGGAACUUUAGGGAGACUGCCGGUGAUAAACCGGAGAACGUGGGGACGACGUCAAGUCAUCAUGGCCCUUACGAGUAGGGCUACACACGUGCUACAAUGGUCAGUACAGAGGGUUGCGAAGCUCGCGAGGUGGAGCUAAUCCCAUAAAGCUGGUCGUAGUCCGGAUUGAGUCUGCAACUCGACUUCAUGAAGUCGGAUCGCUAGUAAUCGUGGAUCAAAUUGCCACGGUGAAUACGUUCCCUGGUCUUGUACCCACCUCCGUCAACACCAUGGGGAAUGGGCUGCACCAAGAGUAGAUAGCUAACUUCGGGAGGGCGUUUACCACUGUGUGGUCAAUGUACUGGAGUGGAUCGUACAA